UGAAGAGUUCUAUUUAUCCUUUCUACCUGCC
rnacentral:piRNA from 1 species